rfam:Lactobacillus mellis strain Hon2 genomic scaffold Hon2_scaffold1, whole genome shotgun sequence.
GGUCCUAUGGUGUAGUUGGUUAUCACGCCUGCCUGUCACGCAGGAGAUCACCGGUUCAAGUCCGGUUAGGACCG